rnacentral:tRNA from 1 species
UCCCUGUGGCUCAGAUGGUAAAGAAUCUGCUUGCAAUGCAGGAGAUCCAGGUUCGAUCCCUGGAUUGGGAA